rnacentral:rRNA from 1 species
GACGAACCGAGCGAACGUUGUUCGGAAUCACUGGGCUUAAAGGGCGCGUAGGCGGCCUGCUAAGUCGAACGUGAAAUCCCUGGGCUCAACCCAGGAACUGCGUCCGAUACUGGUUGGCUUGAAUCCGGGAGAGGGAUGUGGAAUUCCAGGUGUAGCGGUGAAAUGCGUAGAUAUCUGGAGGAACACCGGUGGCGAAGGCGACAUCCUGGACCGGUAUUGACGCUGAGGCGCGAAAGCCAGGGGAGCAAACGGG